rnacentral:lncRNA from 1 species
AUGGUUUCGUCGGUUUCCUUGCACAGUCUGCAUUUUGGGUCAUCAGCUGAUUUUUCGAUCUUGGCCUUAAUUGCAUUUGUUCUGAUGGCUUGCUCCUGGGCUGCAAAGAUCAGGCCUUCUGUCUCCUUCUUCAGGGUCCCAUUCGUGAGCCAUAGCCAGGUCUUCUCCUUAUCAGCUUUUCCUUCAAUUUUUGUCAAGGAACUUUCCAUGCAAUGUUUUUGUUGUGCCAGCUGUCAGCUCUAGUUUGUAGUGCGGUUUUCUUGUACUAAUUCUUUGCUGUGUUUUGAGGAGUUUCUUAUUUUUGACUUCAAUCAAAGCAGGUUCUUCACUUUGCUUUACAUAUUCUGCCAGGGCAUGUUCUGCUUCUUUGUCUGCUUGUUUUACUUGUAAGAUGUCCUCUGCCACCUGAUCUUCUAGGCAGAUAUAGAUGGUCAACAUCACUGCGGGGGUGCAGUGAAUGAUGAAUGGUCAUGAGUUUUCUUGCUUUUCUGUCCAAAUUAUCCAGUUCUGCCUGUGUCCAGUUUAGGAUGCCAGCAGUAUGUAUUAUGACAGAUAUGGCCCAGGUGUUGAUGGUGUUGCCUCCAUUGAGCUUGCUUUUGAGAAUUUUUCUGACCCUUUGUGUGUAUUCUUUGCUGACCACAGUUUUCACAUGUUCAUGCUUGAUGUUGUUCAGCUGUAAUAUGCCCAGAUAUUUAUAGGCCUCUGGUUGGUGACACUUUAUUGUUUGGCCAUUAGGCAUAUUUAUGAUUUUUUUUAUUUAUGAUUCCAAUGAUUUUUCCCUUCUUCAAUGCCACUGUCGAACAUUUGUCCAAGCCAAAUUCCUUGCUGAUAUCAGUGCUAAAAAUUCGGACAGUGUUAGUCAGAGACUGGAUUUCAGUUUCCGUUUUCCCAUACAGCUUCAGGUCAUCCAUGUAUAUCAGAUGCGAAAUUUUGUGAGAAUUCUUAGAUGUUUGAUAGCCGAGAUUUGUUUUUUGUAAGAUUGUUGACAGAGGGAUCAUGGCAAUAAUGAAAAACAGAGAGGACAAUGAGUCUCCCUGGAAAAUUCCUCUCCUGAUGUUGACAAGUCCAUAGCUUUCAUUUCCAACAAACAGUUCAGUUUUCCAGUGCUCCAUCAUGUUUUCAAUGAAGGUGCCAACGUUUUUACUAAUCCCGAUGGCGUCCAGGCACUUGAUGACCCAGCUGUGUGGGAGUGAGUCAAAGGCCUUUUUGUAGUCAAUCCACGUCAUGUGAAGAUUAGCUUUUCGGCUUUUACAGUUCUCCAGAAUCAUUUUGUCAAUCAAUAGCUGGUCUUUUGUGGCCCUGCACAAAAUAAAUAUUUAUUUAUUAUUAUUAUAAAUUUUUAUAAAUAUUAUUUAUAAUAAUUAUAAUUAUUUAUUAUUAUUAUUAUUUAUAUUAUUAUUAUUAUUAUUAUUAUUAUUAUUAUUAUUAUUAUUAUUAUUAUUCAGGACUGGGU